UAGGAACCAGAGGGUAUCAUAACAGUUC
rnacentral:piRNA from 1 species